UACGUAGGUGGCGAGCGUUGUCCGGAUUUAUUGGGCGUAAAGCGCUCGUAGGCGGUUUGUCGCGUCUGCUGUGAAAACUCGGGGCUUAACCCCGGGCCUGCAGUGGGUACGGGCAGACUAGAGUGCGGUAGGGGAGACUGGAAUUCCUGGUGUAGCGGUGAAAUGCGCAGAUAUCAGGAGGAACACCGGUGGCGAAGGCGGGUCUCUGGACAGUUCCUGACACUGAGGCACGAAGGCCAGGGGAGCAAACGGG
rnacentral:rRNA from 1 species